UUGUCCAGAAAAACCUACAGAAGCGGGGGCAAUAAGACCAAGCCUUACGUUAGGCCCGAGACAGAGUACGCAGCGUGUCAAGAACCGGGGCCAUCCGGAAUAACGCAGAACAAAGUCGAUCAUACAACCCCUUAUCACUAUGCGCCCCAUGAAGACCCCUUGAUGUUUUUGGAAUAUUUACGCGAUAUUGAACUCCCAGAACAAUAACAAGAAAAACCACAACCUUUGGGCAACAUGGGAGACUCGGAAGAAUUCUUCACCACCGGACCACACAUACCAGCGAGUGAGUGUCUGCCUAGUGAUUUCAGCGAUGUUUUCGAGUACAGUCUAUCAGAUUUCAAUAUAAAUGACAUACCCACCACGCCAGAAUGUCUCAGAAACAACAACAGUGAUUCAGACAUAGGUUUUGAAGAAGGUUGCAUAACAGACUCACAAAUAUCACAGGCAUAUGACGCAUACUUAAAUGCUGCAAACCCCUCUACUUUUGAACAGAGCCAUUAUGCUUCAAAAAAUGAUAUAUUAUCUUUGAUUGAUGCUAAACUUAGUCAACAUCAACUGACGCACCACCACACAGCCCCUCAAACAAUGGAAAUUCCUUAAGUGUUAACCAUUCACAAACAGGUGCUGCAGCAGUCGGGCCCAUUGUUCAGUCUGGGUCUGGCAGUCACAGCCAGCUUAACAUCAGAGAAUGACACUGUCUGUGUGUCGCAUAGACGUACUUGAGCAUGUAACUGUUUAGCAGUGGCAUGCUUUUCAUGCUCAGGGGCUGUUGGGUUUAAUGAAUGUGCU